GACAGAGGAUGCAAGCGUUAUCCGGAAUGAUUGGGCGUAAAGCGUCUGUAGGUGGCUUUUUAAGUCUGCCGUCAAAUCCCAGGGCUUAACCCUGGACAGGCGGUGGAAACUACCAAGCUGGAGUACGGUAGGGGCAGAGGGAAUUUCCGGUGGAGCGGUGAAAUGCGUAGAGAUCGGGAAGAACAUCGGUGGCGAAAGCGCUCUGCUGGACUGCAACUGACACUCAGGGACGAAAGCUAGGGGAGCGAAAGGG
rnacentral:rRNA from 1 species